UCCGUCGUGGUGUAGUGGCUAGCAUUUGAGACUCUCAUCUUCUACAUUAUGUAGGUGUGCACUCUCAGAACCCGGGUUCAAUUCCCGGCGACGGAA